UUGUUGUGUAAGCUAUUGGUAAGAUUGUAUAAGGAUGCUGGUCAGAAGGUCUUGGUGGCAAAUUUAGUGGCGAAAUUACCCAAAGUUUGCCUCAAUAGCACAAAGCUGUCCGUAUAUAAACCGAAACGCGAUCAGACUGCAUCACCCUGUCGUAUUUUGGUGACACGUUUCGUGAUAAACCAUUUUUGAGAUCAGCAAGAGACCGUAUUACUAAUAGCAUCAUGAAGUCAGCCAUCCUUAUAUGCUGUUUGGUUCUUUUCACCCUUGCAUUGGCGGACCCAGAGGCCAUCACGAGUUGCACUCACAGGGGUAGGGAGUAUGAAAAUGGUUCUAUCAUCAGCCGAAAGGGGUGCAAUAUCAUCAAGUGUCGAAACGGAAUGAAAGUAGGCUACCCGGAUUUGGUAGAAGUCGACGGGAAAUGGAAAUGUAGAGAAGAGUAGAGUGGCGAAGUCACCAAAUAUAAUUGCACACCGCCCACGACAUCAACCCUCUCGUCAGGGCUUUUCUGUUUUUGAGCGUUUCGGCAAGGAGCGUCCAUCUCAAGAACAAGAACAACAUCAACAACAAAAAUGAGCGAUUGUCACUGUAAACCCAUUUAUUGUAAGACAUCU